ACCAUCUUAAUAGAACUAAUCUUGCAAUUUCUGAUAAAUUUUGAAAACAUUUUCCAAAUGCUGAAACAUUGAUGUUGGGUUGCACUUCAAAAUUCCAGUGCCCAAGUCUGGGAACAAUGAUUUCAGUCCCCAAAAGUUAAAAAAUCCAAGCACUGUCUUGAUAGGUUGGACAUUUAUUGUUUACUGAUGUCAUUGAAAUUUGUUUCUUCAUAACCAAUCAUGGAAGCAUUGUCCUUUCAGUUCACGUUGCUAUUUUGUUGUCUGCCAUUAUGUGCAAGACUUUAAAUUAUGCUCAAGUUACUUUGGCAGCUGAUUCUGUUGUUAUAAUUUUAGCUUCAGAAUCAUAUUUUCAGUAAUAAAAUGGAUUGCUUUUGGUUCAUAUUUAGCUAGUAGGGUUCCCUCCUUCUUUUAAAGUAGUUUUUCAUGUUCUGUCAAUUUUAUCUGUUUGAAUAUAUAUGUAAGUAUCUAUCCAAAUGGUCGAUGUCACAAGAAAUUCUGUUUUGUAAGUAUCUUUUAUAGCAAGUCUCCUUUUUGGAGGACAUGAAAUUGAAAGAUGGUUUAGCAUUAUGAUUCUUCUCAUGCUUAGUUGUUUUAGACUAGCAUGAUGAUAGUUGGUUUGUGUAGAUACUUAUCCUUUUAUAUAAGCAUGAUGUGUUGAUUAGGUUCUGAUAUCAACACACUAUAUUUACUGAGUAUGUAUAUGUAUGUCUCUUUAUAUUAUGACAGGAUUGAUUUAUGAUAUAUACUCUCUUGUUGAAAUACUAUUCACUUUCCUUCUACUAUUGUUUUGGUAUACUAAGAAAUU
rnacentral:lncRNA from 1 species